CCCUACUAAGCUGACUUUGUUUCUUUCCUCAGUUUAAAUUUCCUUUUUUAGUUUAACAGCCUAGCUGAAAUUAUGUAUCACUUUCUUCUUAUUUUAAGUAUUUGUUUUGCAGUUUAUACUUAUUUUGCUAUUAAUUGUGUGUCAUUCAUUAAGAGGUUUUACUUUUGCAACUGAAGGCUGCUUUUGAAAACAAAUGGUACUCAACUAAAACAGAGAUGUCGGCUAUUCCUAAGGAGAACGACUUCAACUGAAGAAAACUCAGUUAAUUAUAAACAGGAGAGCUUCCACCAAGAAUUUCCAUUACCGUUAAUGGUUCCACCACCUUGGACUACUAAAUCAUUAAUAUUUUCAAACAUAAGCCAGUUGCUUUCGUGUCCAUUGUAGUCUGAUGGAUCGGAGGGUGCUUCUAUAGUCCCAUCAAUCUGAACUGUAACUUUGGAUUUGCAUGGACCGCGGAACACAAUUGGCUUAACAAGAUAGGUGUUUUGAGAAGGCACCACUAGUACAAUAGGAACAUUAGAUGAACAAGCCUUCUGCCAUGCCUUCUCAAAUGCCUGCAACAACAACAACAACAACAACAACAGGUCUUUUCAAACUUUGAAACAUUUUGUCAAUAAUGUUAUACUACUUUAGUUUGAACAUAUACAUACCAUCGUGUCAUCUUGGCCCCUUCCUUUUGCUCCAAAAUCAUCAACAUUAAUAACUCCUCGUUUUUGAACUGGCACAGGCCUUGGCUUUGGUUGAGAUCGAGGCUUAGGCUUAGGCUGAGGCUUAGGCUGAGGCGGUUGAGGUUGAGGCUUCAGUUGAGGCUUUGGCUGUGUCUGUGGCUGAGGCUUUCGGUGGUCAAUGGUAUCAGAAUCACAGCUUGGAAUAAUAUCUCUAAAACGAGUGAAUUCGACAUUUUGGCACACAGCUUUGGUAUGGCCUUGGUUUUUAUAGUAUGUGAAGUGAACAUUUUCCAUUUUAAUGUCUUUGCAAGGAAAACUCUCACUGCAGUCCAAUUUAAUAGCUUCUUUCAUUACACUUGUACCCUUAAUGUUUUCAAAAGACACUUCACUAACUUGAACUGCC